rnacentral:tRNA from 1 species
CGCAGCGUGGCUCAGUGGAAAGAGCCUGGGCUUUGGAGUCCAGAGGUCAUGAGUUCGAAUCCCAGCUCUGCCA